AAAUACCUGAAAUAUACGUUAACUUUAAUAUGUCCAACCUACAUUUAUACAACGGGAAUCCAAUGUUAUGUGGCUGCCGGGCCGCCGGCGAGCGGAUGGCAAAAGCAUACUCAGGAUACCCACCUGCGAGAGGGCAGGUAUGGGCAUAUAAAGGACGGUAUUUUGGGUAUUUG
rnacentral:other from 1 species